ensembl:lncRNA
GGUUGACCUUUUUUUAAGUAUCAAAUCUGGCCUUAAAGCACCCUGGGACGAGGCCAACUUUGGGAACUAGAGUUGGCGUGCGCACGCCUGAAUGGAUGGUCAAGCUGCGCGUGUGCACGAUUUCCCAUGUGUGUGUCACCCGUGUUCACUCACCUCAGUGUGUCGUCGUCCACCUCUAGGGGUGCGCCAGUUUCCCCGCGAGGCGGUAGUUUCAUUGUAGAGUCACUGUGUGAUUGACAAGAGGCCAUCCACGUUGCUUACUCUUUGCGCGUAACACGUGAUGCUCUGCACACCUCCGUGUGGCAGCGUGUCCCUCCCUGAACGGCUUCCUGGAAGGGGUGCUGAUUUCAAGGAAGGGACAGUGGGGUCCGCACCUCUCGCCUGGACCACAGAGCAUGUGUUUUGUUGACAGUGUGUGUUGCCAGCAUCCUCACUCUCAGUAUCCCGUCCGUCCUUAGGCCUGCUGUCUGGAAUGUGCCGGAAGCCAGCACCCUAGCCAGGUACUCGAAUGGAGGUUGUCCAUGGUGUGUUCAUUUUAUUUAUGAUGAGUAUUACAUGGCCAAUCUCCUUUCAGUACUAAAUUCUUCUUGGGAAAACGUCACAAGGGGAAGUUUCAGCCGGCGCCUGGCCCAGAUGCUCCCUUUGAGGCCUCCUGGAAGGAAGAGUGAAUGAAGGGCAGCCGCAAGCCCGUGCUGGCCUGAGGGUACCAUCCACGCCCCCUCGCAGAGGAGUGGCCGGUCUGCAGCUUGGGGACUUCCCGGGGGAGACGCCAGCUUUGGGACAGGACUUCAGUGUCUGUGCCUCUCUAGGGUAAGUGACCAGAUGCUGCCCCAAGCAUGGGCCUGACUUAUGCUGUGUGUUCUCAAGGCCCCAGCCGCCACCCACACCCAGCCGAAGCCAGCUCAGGGGACGAUCCCCGGUGCCUGAUACCCUCCCUGACGACACACCGUGUUCCCAUCACACGUGGGGCUCCUCGGAUGUCGUGGCAGCCUCAGAGAGAGAGACAGGAAUUGGUGUCAGCGCCGGCCUGGGGAGACGCGCAGCCAGACACUGGAGGCGGUGCCACCGGUGGUGAAGAGGCGUCCUGGUGGUGUUCUUGUCCCUGCCGACGUUUGAUCCUUGAGCAGAGGUUGCCCUUGGUGAAUUCGCUUUAUUUAUGUUGAAUCACACAAAGGCAACUUUUGUUUGAGUAUCAAAUCCUGCCUGGGAUGGCUUCCGGGACCCAGCCCAGGGUCUCCACCUCUCCCGUGAACGAGAACGGAUGGUGUAGACGUGGGUGUCUACACGGCUCCAGUGGACAAGAAUGAACGUUGAUCAGAGAACACAAGCUCGAUCCGUGACAUGGGUCACCUGGGGCCCUUGCAGGAAGGUGUGAGUGCUACCUGCUACCGUUUUGGCCUGGGACCUCUGUCUUUACGUCACCAUUUUGACCACUGACCCCAAAGGCACUCUGCCUCCACCACUUUUUCUCUGAAGGUAUUUUGACCUUGCGGAUAUGUAGAGUUUGCACUCGACGAUUUUAAAGGCUGCAGCUUCUCAUUCUCUCUCUUUUGCUCCAGAUUCCUCUUGUCUUCUCUCUUCUCUCUGAAUUUUUCCUAUGCCUCUCUGCUUCUCUCUCUCUCUCACCCUGCCCAACACGGUUCUUCAUUUUCUCUUGGGUUAUGAAAUGAAUAGAGGCUGUCAGUAUUUCAUCCCAUCUGUAUUAAAUAAUAGUGAUAAAAAUAAUCAACACACAAUAAAACUAAAGUCAACUGUAGUGGCACAGAGUAGGACGUGUUCGAUUGACUACAAAUUGGCAGAAGCAUCCAAUUUCCUUGACAAGGUUUAGGCGGCCGCUUCGGACCCGGGGAGGUGGCGUGCAGUCCACGCGGUGGCCCUGGGAGGAGGCCGGUGGCGGCUCUGAGCGACGAUAUUCGAUGUACACAAAGCACAUCGAGGAGUCCAAUCUUCAUUCAGAUUUUUAAAUGGAAAAGAAUUGAUCCUAAUGAAAAUGAUUUUGGGAAAAUAACAGGGGAAAUAAAAGAAAUGAAAACAGCUCAGCAGCACAGUCGGAAAAGCUCAGCAGGGAAUUGGAUUAGUUUAAUGGAAUUUGCUCUGAAAAACAUGUCUUUAUGAAAACCAAUGUUGGUACAAUUCUCAUUAAGACGGUUAAAUUUGUGUGUGUUUGCAGUGGAGUUGACAGGGUCAGUGGGAACGGAGGGUCCGAGGCACGGUGUUUUGCUGCUGCUGAUCUUUCCUUUCUGUCCUAAAUCUUCCUGGAGAGCUUCCCAGUUGGGCAUGCUGGCUUCAGGGGUGGCACGCUGGUAAAGUGGGUGCAUGUUGUCACCAGAGCAUGCGCCAUCUUGGUGACAUGCCUCAGCUGGUCUGCUCCCUCUUGGUGGGGUUGUGGGUGGGGUGACGUGCUGACUCCAGCAGUGAGGCAGAACGUCCUGGGUCAGUGGGGACUUGUCCUCUGGACAGUUGUCUGCAGUGCUACUGUCGAGGACACAUGAAGGCUGGGACAUUCCUAUGUGCAAUCCUUCCUUGGACGCCAGGGUGUGGCCCCUCUCAGGGCUCCAUGCUGGCCCCAAGGACAUGCCCCUGACUGGUGCCAAGUGUUACCUGGUCAUGGAGGCUGAGCCUGUUUGGGAGGUGGUGGUCCUGGAGGCGCUGCUUCUGGGACUAAAGCCAUUUCCCGGGGCGUGAAAAGAGCUUGUCCUCUGCUGGCAGGCUUUAUUUACCACCAGCAGUGCGUGGUGCUUCUCUUUCCAGAUCAGCCCUGCCUUGGAGGAUUUCCAGGAGCGCGCCACCCUCAGGAGGUGGCCAGCAGUUGGAGGCCUCUGGAGGGUAGGUGCGUGGGUGCCGCCCCGGACGUGCCUUGAGUAUACUGAUGUGCGCCAUCUGGUCCUCUAGCUGUCGCGAUCCAGCCGGUUCUCACGGGCACUUCUGGAGGCGAUGCCAGCUCUGAGGAGGAGUCUCUGAACUGCAGGUCAGUGUCCGUGGUCCCUGAAGGGCUGCUGUCCAUAGCGUGUUUUCUUUCUUUAGGAUAGACCUUAGGUGGCUGGCCUCUUGCCCCAGUCGUAGCGAGACCAGAGGGCUUUCUGAACUCAUGCCAACGUCAGGGAAAGGAUUCUGCUGUCGGUCCCACUCCAGAGUUCGCAAAAUGGGUGGUGGGCACAGAAUCCAGUCUCUGCUUGUGGCAUCUGUCGUCUGCUCCCCGACCCUCGCUCGCCAGUCCAUGAUUUGGGGCAUAGUCUGGAUGUGAUGUCAUCUCCGGGGAAGCCUGGGUUUCUGAUACUGGGCUGUUUGCCUCUUUUUGAAGGUCACCUGCACUUCAUUUGCUUCUUUCUUCCUCUUUUUCUCCCCCUUCACUUUUGGUGUUUCGCUUGCUUUGUUUGUGGGGCUAAUCAAAUGGUCAACCAGUUUUUCGUGUUAAAUCGCCCUUUGAAGGAUUCCGGGGUGGCGAUGCCUGCAGGGAGCUAGAGGUGGUGUUGGUGGGGGCUCGGAGUGUGGAGCCCUGGCCUCAGCAUUGUGUGCCCAUACAGUAUCCCCCCUGAGCUCCUUCCAAAGGCAUCGUCCUCCCGAGGGAGGCUCGGUGCCCACUGGGGGGCCCUGGAGUCCCUCCUCUUUGGGGUCCAGGAAUGAAGAGUUGAGCACAAGCAGGAUUUCCUCUUCAUCAGCUCUGCUUCAGGGUCUGGUCCAUCUUCCGAUAGCCCGUGGUUGGGGUAGUUCAGCAAAAAGGGCACUUCAGCUAUCCGUGAGCUCCUGUGGGGAGUUCAUCCGGGGCAAGGGGUCCCAGCAUGGGCACCCUCUCUGUGGACUAAGAUCCCGCCUGGGUCUCAACUUAACUCUUGGAUGUGGCUCAUUCUGGGGAGGUGAUGGAAUGGUUGACCUCGGCGAUUGGGGGGGUGGUCCUGGUAGAGGGUACAGCCCCCAGCCCCUGAUGCCCAGUGCUCAAGCUACCCUUGGGGGGGUCUCCUGGAAGCACGGCCACCUUGCAGCAUCCACCUUAGUCCAAGCAUCCGAGCCUCUCCAUGGUACUCGGGGAGAGGUUACCCGAGCAACUUUGCAUCUGGACGACGAAUGUUGCUCGGUGAACCCCUUUUCGGUAUCAAAAUCCAUCAGAGGGGCCGUCUCGGAGGCCGUGGCACCUCGGGGAAGAACGUCGGUAUCAGCACCGCUCCGGGGUACAGGAGGGAUGGUCGACCAGUUGGAAAGUAAUUGUUUCUAAUGUACUUCACCUGGUCCACUAGCCGUCCGUACCCACCGCAGCCUGCGGGCCCGCGGGCCUGGGCCAAGCUGCCCACUCCUCGGCUCGGCGCCUCUCCUGGUACUUGAAGGGAGAUCGACCGUGUCAUAUUCGCUUUAUUGACUUCGAAUAAUACAUGGUUGAUCUUUUCUCGGUAUCAAAGCUCACCUCGGAGGACCUCUUGGAGAUAAAGCCCUGGUUGGGGUGGGAAGGGGGUGGGGGCUUCUGGGUCACUGCCCCAGCGGGCUGCCCGGAGGGAGGCCUGGUCCCCGAGGCUGGGCUGGGCGGGGCGUGCACUGCCUUGUCCUGUGUCCCCUCACUUUUUGGUAUCUGAUCCCCCCUCAGGACGGCUUCCGGGAGGCGCCCACCGUUGCUGCAGCGGCCGUGGUCCUGGAGUCCGUGUCACCUUGGGUAGCUGAGGAGAGGUUGUCUGUG